ACAACCAGUUUUUUGUUCUAUUUACGAUUUUUAAUUUUGAAGUGGCAUUUAUUGUGAUGUUAAAAUAAAGUGGUGUACAAAUAAGAUCGUGUCACAUGAUAUCACACAAAUAACUAGUACCGCGCGCGCGUGCGUGCGGUUUCCCUUACGAAAAUUAACCAUGGUUUUACUACAGUUAAAACCAAAAAACAUGGUUACUGUAGUAAAACCAUGGUAACCACAAAAUAACCUUGGUUUUGAUAACCAUGGUUUUCAAAAAACAUAGUUAAACCAUGGUUAGUGUAGUAAAACCAUGGAUUUGUCAUAGUAAUCAAAUCACCAAAAAAACAUGGUUACUACACUUUUACCACAAUAAAAUCGUGGUUAAUUUUCGUAAGGGUUGGUGUGAUUAUGGUUAAAACAAGGCAAAACUGAACCAAAAGAAGAAAUAUAGCAUUUAAGAGUUAAUAGUAACAACAUACAAAGUAAUAUUCUAGGACUUUUUUCUAAGAAUACAUUUUUAAAUGUAAACUAUUUUGAUAUGUUAUUGAUAAGUAUACUUUUUUAUUGAACAGGAAACCAUUUCAGUAUUCACUGAGCUUUCUGACAACAGGGACCUUUGAUUUCACAUGCAAUAGAAACCCCCAUAUUAUUAAAAGUAAACUAACUCAGUAUUAUUUUUUAACUUAGCCUGUCAUGCCUUGCAUUAGUGUCUGGUGCUUUUGGAGAAUUCAUCCUUUGAGGUUUGUUUGUUUUCUUUUUUUUUAAUACAUACUGUUCAUUGAAGCUUCAAUUACCAAAUGCUUAAUUUUAGCAUUUUAAAAAAAUGUUUUUAACUAUAAUUAUAAAUUCAUUACAUGUAUUAAUCUAAACAAGUGGAUUUCAAUUAUGGUCCUAAGGGAUGUCAUUAAGAACAAACUGUCUUUAUGAGACUUUAUAUUUUAAACUUUUGAAGGUCAGAGAUGCUGAAAGUGCAACUCCAGUAAAAGAGGAGAGUAGAGAGCAGAGGUGAUGAAAUCCCCCUGCAUGUUGAUUAUUUGACCAAGAUGCCGAUUGACAUCCUCUGGUGGAUCCUGAUGGAAGUCGUUACAGAGACGGCGUUGUGGCUUUCUGGAGACUUUCACUGAUGUGCAAGGUCUUCAUGGACGUUGUCAGCAAACCCAAAUUCACUGUAUGGCUGGACAGUGUUGUGAGUUGGAGUGCAUUUUCCAGACAAUAUAGGCAAGAGCUCCGGGUGCCCUACUCGUUGACUUUGAAAUAUACAAGGACUGCCCACCUGGGUAUCUAGGUGAUGGCAGAAGGGGACUCCUGAAUGGGUUUUAUUCCGACAAGGAGGUUCAGGGCUAUUGCUCGGUUGAUUGUUUUUUCAAUGAUGGAGGGGAACUUCUGUGUAGAUUGUGUGUACGGUUAAUGUACCGUACAUGAUUAUCUGUGUGUGUAUUAUGUCUUUUUAACAAUUAUUUUUGUUUUGAAAUAAAAGUUAUCACUGGUA